rnacentral:rRNA from 1 species
GCUUACGGCCACACCGCCUGGUUCACGCCCGAUCUCGUUUGAUCUCGGAAGCUAAGAUAGGUUGGGCCUGGUUAGUACUUGGAUGGGAGACUGCCUGGUAAUACCAGGUGCUGUAACCC